rnacentral:rRNA from 1 species
AGAGUUUGAUCAUGGCUCAGGACGAACGCUGGCGGCGUGCCUAACACAUGCAAGUCGAGCGGAGAUAAUAGCAAUAUUAUUUUAGCGGCGGACGGGUGAGUAACGCGUGGGCAACCUGCCUUUUACUGGGGGAUAACACAGGGAAACUUGUGCUAAUACCGCAUAACGUCAUGAAAGGACAUCCUUUUAUGACCAAAGGAGCAAUCCGGUAGAAGAUGGGCCCGCGUCCGAUUAGCUAGUUGGUGGUGUAACGGACCACCAAGGCGACGAUCGGUAGCCGAACUGAGAGGUUGAUCGGCCACAUUGGGACUGAGACACGGCCCAGACUCCUACGGGAGGCAGCAGUGGGGAAUAUUGCGCAAUGGGGGAAACCCUGACGCAGCAACGCCGCGUGAAGGAUGAAGGUUUUCGGAUUGUAAACUUCUUUGAUUGGGGACGAAUAAUGACGGUACCCAAAAAACAAGCCACGGCUAACUACGUGCCAGCAGCCGCGGUAAUACGUAGGUGGCGAGCGUUGUCCGGAAUUACUGGGUGUAAAGGGCGUGUAGGCGGGAAUACAAGUCAGAUGUGAAAUACCGAGGCUUAACCUCGGGGCUGCAUCUGAAACUGUGUUUCUUGAGUGUCGGAGAGGAAAGUGGAAUUCCCAGUGUAGCGGUGAAAUGCGUAGAUAUUGGGAGGAACACCAGUGGCGAAGGCGACUUUCUGGACGAUAACUGACGCUGAGGCGCGAAAGCGUGGGGAGCAAACAGGAUUAGAUACCCCAGUAGUCC